AGUCGAACGCCCCGCAAGGGGAGUGGCAGACGGGUGAGUAACACGUGGAGAACGUGCCCAAAGGUACGGAACAACUCCGGGAAACCGGAGCUAAUACCGUAUGUGCCCGAAAGGGGAAAGAUUCAUCGCCUUUGGAUCGGCCCGCGUCUGAUUAGCUAGUUGGCGGGGGAAUGGCCCACCAAGGCGACGAUCAGUAGCUGGUCUGAGAGGAUGACCAGCCACGCUGGGACUGAGACACGGCCCACACUCCUACGGGAGGCAGCAGUGGGGAAUAUUGGACAAUGGGCGCAAGCCUGAUCCAGCCAUGCCGCGUGAGUGAUGAACGCCUUAGGGUUGUAAAGCUCUUUCGCCAGGGACGAUAAUGACGGUACCUGGAUAAGAAGCCCCGGCUAACUUCGUGCCAGCAACCGCGGUAAUACCAAGGGGGCUAGCGUUGUUCGGAAUUACUGGGCGUAAAGCGUAUGCAGGCGGAUCGUUUAGUCAGGGGUGAAAUCACGAGGCUCGACCUCGGAACUGCCUUUGAUACUGACGAUCUUGAUUCCGGAAGAGGUGAGUGGAACUGCUAGUGUAGAGGUGAAAUUCGUAGAUAUUCUCAAGAACGCCAGUGGCGAGUGCGGCUCACUGGCCCGGAACUGACGCUGAGAUACGAAAGCGUGGGGAGCAAACAGGAUUAGAUACCCUGGUAG
rnacentral:rRNA from 1 species